AUUGAACGCUGGCGGCAUGCUUUACACAUGCAAGUCGAACGGUAACAGGCCGCAAGGUGCUGACGAGUGGCGAACGGGUGAGUAAUGCAUCGGAACGUGCCCAGUCGUGGGGGGUAACUACUCGCAAGAGUAGCUAAUACCGCAUACUAUCUAUGGAUGAAAGCGGGGGACCGUAAGGCCUCGCGCGAUUGUAGCGGCCGAUGUCAGAUUAGGUAGUUGGUGGGGUAAAGUCUCACCAAGCCAACGAUCUGUAGCUGGUCUGAGAGGACGACCAGCCACACUGGGACUGAGACACGGCCCAGACUCCUACGGGAGGCAGCAGUGGGGAAUUUUGGAAAAUGGGCGCAAGCCUGAUCCAGCAAUGCCGCGUGCAGGAAGAAGGCCUUCGGGUUGUAAACUGCUUUUGUACGGAACGAAACGGCUCUGGUUAAUACCCGGGGCUAAUGACGGUACCGUAAGAAUAAGCACCGGCUAACUACGUG
rnacentral:rRNA from 1 species